AAAUAAACAGCCACCGAGCCCUGGAGGUGCUGCAGUCACCCUCCAGAGGGAAAUGUCACAGUGGCAGGCUCCUUUCCCUGGGUAAACUGACCUCAGGGUUUCCAGGGAGGUUUCUGCCUCAGCUGAGACACAAGAGCAGCCACUUCACCUCUGUGUUCUGGGGAGAGAUUGACAGGAAAAUGUCUUCAGAGCAAACGCACGCCAGAUGGAAUGAAAACGGUUUAUUGGAGUAUGGAGGUGCUGCUGAACUGAAUAGAGGGCGGGUUUAAGAGCAAAGGCAGGAGAACAGCCAUAAAUGGGAAGAAACAGCACAAAAGAAAGGAAGAAAAUACAACUCUAAACUGUGAAUCUCCCUGACAUAUUUUCAUUAUCAGCCUAGUCAAUGAAGAAUGCCACAAAGGAAAGGA
rnacentral:lncRNA from 1 species